rnacentral:rRNA from 1 species
UACGUAGGGUGCAAGCGUUGCCCGGAUUUAUUGGGCGUAAAGGGCGCGUAGGCGGUCACGCACGUCCGUUGUGAAAUCGCUCGGCUCAACCGGGGAACUGCGUCUGAUACUGGAGGGCUUGAGUGCGGGAGAGGGAUGUGGAAUUCCAGGUGUAGCGGUGAAAUGCGUAGAUAUCUGGAGGAACACCGGUGGCGAAGGCGGCAUCCUGGACCGACACUGACGCUGAGGCGCGAAAGCUAGGGUAGCAAACGGG